UACAGAGGUCCCGAGCGUUGUUCGGAUUCACUGGGCGUAAAGGGUGCGUAGGUGGUGAGGUAAGUCGGAUGUGAAAUCUCCGGGCUCAACCCGGAAAUGGCAUUGGAAACUACCUUGCUGGAGGAUUUGAAGGGGGAUUGGAAUACUUGGUGUAGCAGUGAAAUGCGUAGAUAUCAAGUGGAACACCAGUGGCGAAGGCGAAUCCCUGGAAAAUACCUGACACUGAGGCACGAAAGCUAGGGGAGCAAACAGG
rnacentral:rRNA from 1 species